rnacentral:lncRNA from 1 species
UCGUUAAUUAAGAAGGCCAGAAUUUUCCUUCUACAAUUUAGUGGUGCUAGGACUGCCGUGUCUGUUCGGGUAAGUGGCUGAGCAUUAGAAGGCUUAACUUCGGUUUAUUAAGGUGUAAUACCACCGGUUGUGAUUGGAAGAAUUAUUGGAUAUUGGUGAUUCAAUGCUAAAAUAGAUCAUUUGUAUGAUUUUUUUAUGUACUGAAAAUUUC